UCGACAGGCUUAACACAUGCAAGUCGAGGGGCAGCACAGGUAGCAAUACCGGGUGGCGACCGGCGCACGGGUGAGUAACGCGUAUGCAACUUGCCUAUCAGAGGGGGAUAACCCGGCGAAAGUCGGACUAAUACCGCAUGAAGCAGGGAUCCCGCAUGGGAAUAUUUGCUAAAGAUUCAUCGCUGAUAGAUAGGCAUGCGUUCCAUUAGGCAGUUGGCGGGGUAACGGCCCACCAAACCGACGAUGGAUAGGGGUUCUGAGAGGAAGGUCCCCCACAUUGGUACUGAGACACGGACCAAACUCCUACGGGAGGCAGCAGUGAGGAAUAUUGGUCAAUGGGCGUAAGCCUGAACCAGCCAAGUCGCGUGAGGGAUGAAGGUUCUAUGGAUCGUAAACCUCUUUUAUAAGGGAAUAAAGUGCGGGACGUGUCCCGUUUUGUAUGUACCUUAUGAAUAAGGAUCGGCUAACUCCGUGCCAGCAGCCGCGGUAAUACGGAGGAUCCGAGCGUUAUCCGGAUUUAUUGGGUUUAAAGGGUGCGUAGGCGGCCUUUUAAGUCAGCGGUGAAAGUCUGUGGCUCAACCAUAGAAUUGCCGUUGAAACUGGGGGGCUUGAGUAUGUUUGAGGCAGGCGGAAUGCGUGGUGUAGCGGUGAAAUGCAUAGAUAUCACGCAGAACCCCGAUUGCGAAGGCAGCCUGCCAAGCCAUUACUGACGCUGAUGCACGAAAGCGUGGGGAUCAAACAGGAUUAGAUACCCUGGUAGUCCACGCAGUAAACGAUGAUCACUAGCUGUUUGCGAUACACUGUAAGCGGCACAGCGAAAGCGUUAAGUGAUCCACCUGGGGAGUACGCCGGCAACGGUGAAACUCAAAGGAAUUGACGGGGGCCCGCACAAGCGGAGGAACAUGUGGUUUAAUUCGAUGAUACGCGAGGAACCUUACCCGGGUUUGAACGCAUUCGGACCGAGGUGGAAACACCUUUUCUAGCAAUAGCCGUUUGCGAGGUGCUGCAUGGUUGUCGUCAGCUCGUGCCGUGAGGUGUCGGCUUAAGUGCCAUAACGAGCGCAACCCUUGCCACUAGUUACUAACAGGUAAAGCUGAGGACUCUGGUGGGACUGCCAGCGUAAGCUGCGAGGAAGGCGGGGAUGACGUCAAAUCAGCACGGCCCUUACAUCCGGGGCGACACACGUGUUACAAUGGCGUGGACAAAGGGAAGCCACCUGGCGACAGGGAGCGAAUCCCCAAACCACGUCUCAGUUCGGAUCGGAGUCUGCAACCCGACUCCGUGAAGCUGGAUUCGCUAGUAAUCGCGCAUCAGCCAUGGCGCGGUGAAUACGUUCCCGGGCCUUGUACACACCGCCCGUCAAGCCAUGGGAGCCGGGGGUACCUGAAGUCCGUAACCGCGAGGAUCGGCCUAGGGUAAAACUGGUGACUG
rnacentral:rRNA from 1 species